GCCUUCGUGGUGUAAUGGUCAAGCACAGUCGGCGCGUAUUCAAGUGGUUCGUGGUUCGAGUCCCGGCGAGGGCA
rfam:Stegodyphus mimosarum contig119382, whole genome shotgun sequence.